GAUGAACGCUGGCGGCGUGCCUAAUACAUGCAAGUCGAACGCGCAGCGAAAGGUGCUUGCACCUUUCAAGCGAGUGGCGAACGGGUGAGUAACACGUGGAUAACCUGCCUCAAGGCUGGGGAUAACAUUUGGAAACAGAUGCUAAUACCGAAUAAAACUUAGUAUCGCAUGAUACAAAGUUAAAAGGCGCUACGGCGUCACCUAGAGAUGGAUCCGCGGUGCAUUAGUUAGUUGGUGGGGUAAAGGCUUACCAAGACGAUGAUGCAUAGCCGAGUUGAGAGACUGAUCGGCCACAUUGGGACUGAGACACGGCCCAAACUCCUACGGGAGGCUGCAGUAGGGAAUCGUCCACAAUGGGCGCAAGCCUGAUGGAGCAACGCCGCGUGUGUGAUAAAGGCUUUCGGGUCGUAAAGCACUGUUGUAUGGGAAGAAAUGCUAAAAUAGGGAAUGAUUUUAGUUUGACGGUACCAUACCAGAAAGGGACGGCUAAAUACGUGCCAGCCGCCGCCGUAA
rnacentral:rRNA from 1 species